rnacentral:rRNA from 1 species
GAUGAACGCUGGCGGCGUGCCUAAUACAUGCAAGUCGAGCGAACAGACGAGGAGCUUGCUCCUCUGACGUUAGCGGCGGACGGGUGAGUAACACGUGGAUAACCUACCUAUAAGACUGGGAUAACUUCGGGAAACCGGAGCUAAUACCGGAUAAUAUAUUGAACCGCAUGGUUCAAUAGUGAAAGACGGUUUUGCUGUCACUUAUAGAUGGAUCCGCGCCGCAUUAGCUAGUUGGUAAGGUAACGGCUUACCAAGGCAACGAUGCGUAGCCGCCCUGAGAGGGUGAUCGGCCACACUGGAACUGAGACACGGUCCAGACUCCUACGGGAGGCAGCAGUAGGGAAUCUUCCGCAAUGGACGAAAGCUUGACGGAGCAACGCCGCGUGAGUGAUGAAGGUCUUCGGAUCGUAAAACUCUGUUAUUAGGGAAGAACAAAUGUGUAAGUAACUAUGCACGUCUUGACGGUACCUAAUCAGAAAGCCACGGCUAACUACGUG